GUGGACUCUUUAAAUCAAAAGACACCAUCAGGACAACAAUGAAAUUGUGGAUACUAACUUUACUCUGCGUCGUGCGAUCAUGUUUGACAGUGACGGUUAUUAUAGACGGAAAAGAGGUGGACUGCAGUAAAAACUGUGUGUGUGUUGUAAAGGAGGAACGUCAAAAUGUGGACAUGAUAACGUCUGUACAGAAAGAUGUGUUGAAACCAUACAUGGUCACAGAUGUCAUCACUCUUGUCCCGAAAACUGCUACACGUGCGAAUAUAAUACAGGAAAAACAUGUGAGAGUUGCAAAGAUGAAUUUUAUGAUAUAAACAGUUUGUGUAACAUGAGGUGUUCUGCCGGGUGUAACAAUGGAACCUGUUAUGACGAUGGAACAUGUGACCAAUGUAAAGCAGGUUUCGAAGGGCCUAGAUGCGAGCGAUGUACACCAGGAAAAUAUGGUUCAAAUUGUACUUUAAGCUGUGCAAAACAGAAUUGCCGAUGUACGGCUGACACAGAUUGCAUAUCUUGUAAAAAGGGCUUCUAUGGCAGCAGCACCUACUGUCAAACAUCUUGUUCCACUGGAUGUCAGGAUGGAUCUUGUAAUGAUGAUGGAACUUGUAAUUGUACCUCAGGAUUUAAUGGAACUACAUGCAGUGAAUGUAUAUCCGGAUAUCACGGGACAAACUGCGAUGAACAGUGUUCCGUAGGCUGUGUAAACACACAAUGUUCAACAGAUGGUAAGUGUGACUGUCGAGAUUACUUUGAAGGAACAACAUGUGAUAUAUGUUCAGAUCAUCGAUACGGUAAUUAUUGUGAUCAAGUAUGCAGUGUCGGUUGUGACAAAACAAAGGCUUGUGACAGAAACAACGGCUCCUGCGAAUGUCUUCCUAAUUUUACCGGCGAUAAAUGUGACCAAUGCAACGAAGGUCUUUACGGACAAUCAUGUGACGUUAAUUGCCCA